CUGGCGGAGAAGCGGCGGUGGAUCGACGUCGGAGAGGCUAAUAUUACCGCCGUGGAAGGAUUGCGAAACAUCUUCCACUGAGAAAGGAAUGCUGAAAGAUACCGGAAACAAUGAAGAUUCGAGAGUAAUUCAUUAGGGAGAGAAACUGAGAAGAAAGCGAGAAAUUUGUUUCUGCGUACCUUGAAUCGACGUCUAGCAAGAAAGAAGGAUAUGGUUCGAUGUUAUACCAGAAACAUCACUGCUUGCCUUAUGUGCUGAAGUUCAUCCCAUGGUGAUCGUGCUGCCUGUAGGAGACAAAAAAGAAUAGAAUUAUGCACCACUUCUCUAAUUCAUGCAAGCCCAUUUUAAGAUAUUCUCCGUUGCUAACCGAACAACACUCUCGGCGAAGCAACAAACUGCCAGAAGAUAAACUUUUCAAGUCAAGCUACGUCAUAACCAAAUAUGGGACCUGGAGAUCAUUAAGACUCAGUCAAGAAACAGGAAAAGAUAAAUUUAAGCUUGAGGUGAAAAUCUUUGAAAGUGCAUUAUCUUACAUGGUUCUCUGCCAUAAAGGUCAAGAAGUUUUGCACCUUUUCGGACGCAAAAACUCUUGCAGGAGGCAUUGUCUUUUCUGCAGAAGCUGUCUGUCUUCGAAGAGAUUCAUUUUCUGACUCUAGAAUUGCAACCUUAUCCUUCAGGCUGCUAAGAGGGUUUUUUUCCAGAUAUAGAGUGAUAUCAGAUACAAUUUCAUAUUUUAUUUUUCUUUGUAAUUCAGGUCGAUUGAAAAUUUCAAAUAUGCAGUACUAGGCUGACAAAACUUCUCAGCUCACAGGACCUUACCUGUUUAACUCUCCAGUCUCUUCAACGCUUGUUGAAGCGGCCAAAGCCUGCUGACGCAAGACCUGAUUUUCGGAUUCAAGGUUUGACAGGUCUACCUGUUGAUUUUGAAGCUUUCAAAACCAUAAAUGUCGAGGACUCCGAUCAAGCUUUUAGCAUUUGGGUCUUGACCUAUUGAACUGUUGAUCUUAUCCACAAUCCUGUCAUUAUUGAGUGGUGCACAUGUCACGGUUGGAGAUGGCUCAAACUGAGAACUAUUUAUCUAGAAAAAGUCCUGAAGGAAAACCAUGUUAAAGGGGUUGGAUUUACAUACCAGUCAAACAGCCUGGAGUAUACUGUCUUGGCUAAAGCAUCACGAUUUGAGGCUGCGGAGUCUGGGUCUAGCGGCUUUGUAAUGUUACCGUCCGGAGUGACAAUAACACGCUUGCAGAGUGAAUCUUCCAUCAUCUUCUCAUUGCACCUACGUCAAGUGAAAGAUUGAAAUUUAGUCAGCAUUUCCAUUGGACAUGUGCAGAAUUUCGAGGUCUAAUGGUAAUUGGUAAGGUGGAGGAUUGCAGCUACGACUCGGAAUAUGGCAUCCUAAAGUUGAAGUUCCUGCAUUGUUACUGAAGACUUACCUCAGGCGGUGCUGCACAGAGCAUGUAGAAGCAGUGAUAGUUCCUCUCAGGGUCUGAAACUUGGCAAACACGAGACCGUUCAAGAAGAUAAGUGCGGAUGGCAGCUCCAGAUAUUUUCCCACGCUUGUCAAAUUGGAUCUCAACAAAUUUUCCAAACCGACUGUCGGAAAACCCAGAGAAUUGCAAACGAGUCAAAACAAAAGAUACCAGCAGAAAAAGAAUAAUAUGUCCACUCUUGUUCGACGCAGAUAAAAAUCAGAGCAAGUAACUCACCUCUAAAACUUGUUGUUCAACGCUUCUCCCUUCGGUAUCUGAUCUGCCUCCCAUGAAUGCAAGAUAUCUCAUGAGCAUUUUGGUUGUCUCUGUUUUUCCAGCUCCGCUCUCUCCACUAACCAAAAUAGACUGGCUUCUUGCCUCAUUAAUCAUCGCCCUAGUAUAAUUGAAGCUUUUGCAAACAGAUGCGGGCUUAGCUCUCCAAACGCAGCUCCUUUAUAUUGCUCCAUCAUAUGGACACUAUACAAAUGCGGAAGUCUUUGGAAUGGAUUCACCGCAAUCAAGAUGUUUCCGGUAUUGUGGAGGACCCCUGGCUCAUGGAGGUAAGCCAGUUUAGUCAUGUCGUCAACACCUGCAGGCGGCGCCUCUGUAUCCUUUGGAUAUAUACUAGAAAUACUAGCAACAACCUGUAACAAUAGAAUAUAUACUUGAAAUUUUUCUAGAAAAUCUGUGAAUCUUACUGCAAAGGUUUAUGUUAACAAUAUCAAAAUCUUUUCCAUUUUGAGUGGUUUUGUAUGUAAUGAAAAGUAGUUUCUCACAGUUUUCCCAUUUGCAGUGACUAUUUUGGCAUUGGUGCCUUUGAUUUCAAUCACUUCUCCACUAAUCCAUGCGAGUUCUAGAUCCUCGACCCAGACAUGUGACCCGAGUGUGAUAUUUACAGGAGUCCCCUAACAUUAUUUAUCAAAGCAAGCUUUUCAAUAGUCACAUUAAGAAAAGAUAGGAAAUAUGCAACAGAAGGUGUUAAUGGGAAGGCUUACCAUUACUCGAGCUCUUCCAAGCUCUUACACUCAGAAUCUGCAGCAGAUGAAGAACAGAAAGAUCAAAAGAAAAGGUAAGAUAGAAAGAGAAGAUUGAGCUCUUUAAGGGAAAGAGAGAGGGAGAGGGGGAAUAAUAAAAAGAAAAAGAAAAGGUGACUCUGAAUCAGAAGAUACAGCAGAUUCUUAACUUAGAAAAAGACUUUUCCCUCACCUCUUGUCUCCACUACGUCUCUUAACUUUUUUUUGCAGGUUUUAGAGCUUAAGAUGCAGUAAUGGCGGCAAAUCAAAUUCUUUCAGAUAUUCAGUCUUGGGUCAUUUGCUUUGAAAACCAUGCUAGAGCAUUCCAUGGAAAACUGUUUGGUGUAACACCGUGUAAGGAAGGUCACACUUCUCAUAUUUUUCUCCUUUUCAAAGCUUUAUGCUGGUUCCUUUUGAGUAUGAAUGGGGUCCUCGUAGGUUAAACAAAAUGUGAAAUUGCUGCUUUUAGAACAUUAAAGUUGUCUGCUUUACAUUUUGAUAUUGAUACUGCACCAACUUUUUUUCUCUUGAUCGGCCAUGGCCAGGUACUGUUUCGCUGUGAAAGUGAACUUCUUUCCUCUUUUUCGUUAAAAGACAAUUAUGCCCUUUAUGUUUGGUUUCAUCUCUUGCUGCAGAGCCAAAGGCCUUUUGUGUGGUGCUUAAACUUGAAGUCAUCACCUUAAAAGUGUAAACUUUGUCAAAUCUUAUAGAAAGUUGCAUACUUUUCAAAGUUUCAUGAUUUUAUUUAUUUCAUUUUGGGGUGUGUGAAGGUAAUGGCCGGUGGAGAAUCUCCGGUGGCGGUUGAGGCCGGUUUCCGAGACUGGACCAUUUGGAUUAACUUUUCUUUUCUUUUCUCUCUCUUUUUUUAAUAUAUGGUCGAAAGUUUUUAUUACGCUAGUUUUAAGUAUUCUUUAUUCUUUGAAUAUUCAGAGCUGCAUCAUUAUAUGUCUAAUUUUGCUAAUUUCUCGAUCCAAGAACAUCAUGAUUACAUGUGCAA